rnacentral:rRNA from 1 species
UACAGAGGGUGCGAGCGUUGUUCGGAAUUACUGGGCGUAAAGCGCACGUAGGCGGCUUGCCAAGUCGGACGUGAAAUCCCUCAGCUCAACUGAGGACGUGCAUCCGAAACUGGCGAGCUUGAGUACUGAAGAGGAUCGCGGAAUUCCCGGUGUAGCAGUGAAAUGCGUAGAUAUCGUGAGGAACACCAGAGGCGAAGGCGGUUACCUGGACAGUUACUGACGCUCAGGCACGAAAGCAUGGGGAGCAAAAGGG